rnacentral:lncRNA from 13 species
AAAAAGGAAACUGGAUUGGGUGAGCAACGCUCGCAUAAUGAUCACCCUUGUUUGAGACCUGCAGAUUUGCAUUAGCAAAUGCCCAGACUUUAGCUAGCAUGCUAACACAGUCAUAUGGCAAAUAUACAACAUAGUUUCAAACCUGAUUGUUCACAUACAGUUUUGUUAGCAUCACCAAAUAUGCUCUGUGUGUUUGACAGCAGCCCUACAGCACCAUGUAAACACAGUUGGAUAAACUAGCCCCUAACACUGAUCUUAGGCCAGUGUUUGUAUUUUCCCCUUUCCUCAAAGGUUACGAUUCAAAGAGUGUAAGCUGACCUAGAUCCUACAUUAGUUCCUAAGGGCAACAUCUAGUUGGAGUUAUGUAAACACUACCAGGAAAUGCCAACUUCCUCAUUGAGCUGAGGAGUGUGUGCUGUGUACACACAGACUCUGAACAGUAUAGGGGCUAUGUCACAAAGCAGCAUCAAUGAAGAGCCAGCUUUAACCACUUUAUAUUUCUGAUUAUCUAGAUUCUCUAAAUGUUCUGUCAUGUAUUGUCAUGUUGUGUCUUGUUUCUGUCCUUUCUCUUCACCCUGUCUCCCUCUGCUGGUCGUUUUAGGUUACCUUUUCUCCCCCUCUUUCCCCCAGCUGUUCCUUGUCUCCUCCUAACUACCUCGUCACCCCUUUUCCCACCUGUUCCCUUUUUCCCUCUGAUUAGUCCUCUAUAUCUCUCUCUGUUCUUGUUUCUGUCCUUUCUCUUCACCCUGUCUCCCUCUGCUGGUCGUUUUAGGUUACCUUUUCUCCCCCUCUUUCCCCCAGCUGUUCCUUGUCUCCUCCUAACUACCUCGUCACCCCUUUUCCCACCUGUUCCCUUUUUCCCUCUGAUUAGUCCUCUAUAUCUCUCUCUGUUUUUGUUUCUGUCUUUGUCGGAUUCUUGUUUGUGUUUUUCAUGCCUGAACCAGACUAUCGUCAUGUUUGCUGCAACCUUGUCCUGUCCUGUCGGAAUCUGCCAGUCCAUCUGAGCCUACCUAUGUUUUGUCAUUAAAGAAGCUCUGUUUACGUUAAUUCGCUUUUGGGUCCUCAUUCACGCACUUUAACAUGUUCCAUAUUCAAAUAUUAUUAUCCAAAC